CCUACGGGUGGCAGCAGUGGGGGAUAUUGCACAAUGGGGGGAACCCUGAUGCAGCGACGCCGCGUGGGUGAAGAAGCGCCUCGGCGCGUAAAGCCCUGUCAGCAGGGAAGAGAAUGACGGUACCUGAAGAAGAAGCCCCGGCUAACUACGUGCCAGCGGCCGCGGUAAUACGGAGGGGGCGAGCGUUAUCCGGAUUUACUGGGUGUAAAGGGGGCGCAGACGGGGUUGCAAGCCAGAUGUGAAAGCCCGGGGCCCAACCCCGGGACUGCAUUUGGAACUGGGUGGCUUGAGUGCCGGAGGGGCAGGCGGAAUUCCUGGUGUAGCGGUGAAAUGCGUAGAUAUCAGGAGGAACACCGGUGGCGAAGGCGGCCUGCUGGACUGCAACUGACGGUGAGGCGCGAAAGUGUGGGUAUCAAACAGGAUUAGAAACCCUAGUAGUC
rnacentral:rRNA from 1 species